rfam:Clostridiales bacterium 41_21_two_genomes Ley3_66761_scaffold_270, whole genome shotgun sequence.
UGCCUAUCCGCAUCUAAUGAUGAGGAUUAAGCCCAUACGGACAGGCGGGGCAGCUGCCGA